UUAAGCGACUAAGCGUACACGGUGGAUGCCCUGGCAGUCAGAGGCGAUGAAGGACGUGCUAAUCUGCGAUAAGCGUCGGUAAGGUGAUAUGAACCGUUAUAACCGGCGAUUUCCGAAUGGGGAAACCCAGUGUGAUUCGUCACACUAUCAUUAACUGAAUCCAUAGGUUAAUGAGGCGAACCGGGGGAACUGAAACAUCUAAGUACCCCGAGGAAAAGAAAUCAACCGAGAUUCCCCCAGUAGCGGCGAGCGAACGGGGAGAAGCCCAGAGCCUGAAUCAGUGUGUGUGUUAGUGGAAGCGUCUGGAAAGGCGCGCGAUACAGGGUGACAGCCCCGUACACAAAAAUGCACAUAUUGUGAGCUCGAUGAGUAGGGCGGGACACGUGGUAUCCUGUCUGAAUAUGGGGGGACCAUCCUCCAAGGCUAAAUACUCCUGACUGACCGAUAGUGAACCAGUACCGUGAGGGAAAGGCGAAAAGAACCCCGGCGAGGGGAGUGAAAAAGAACCUGAAACCGUGUACGUACAAGCAGUGGGAGCCUCUUUAUGGGGUGACUGCGUACCUUUUGUAUAAUGGGUCAGCGACUUAUAUUCUGUAGCAAGGUUAACCGAAUAGGGGAGCCGAAGGGAAACCGAGUCUUAACUGGGCGUUAAGUUGCAGGGUAUAGACCCGAAACCCGGUGAUCUAGCCAUGGGCAGGUUGAAGGUUGGGUAACACUAACUGGAGGACCGAACCGACUAAUGUUGAAAAAUUAGCGGAUGACUUGUGGCUGGGGGUGAAAGGCCAAUCAAACCGGGAGAUAGCUGGUUCUCCCCGAAAGCUAUUUAGGUAGCGCCUCGUGAAUUCAUCUCCGGGGGUAGAGCACUGUUUCGGCAAGGGGGUCAUCCCGACUUACCAACCCGAUGCAAACUGCGAAUACCGGAGAAUGUUAUCACGGGAGACACACGGCGGGUGCUAACGUCCGUCGUGAAGAGGGAAACAACCCAGACCGCCAGCUAAGGUCCCAAAGUCAUGGUUAAGUGGGAAACGAUGUGGGAAGGCCCAGACAGCCAGGAUGUUGGCUUAGAAGCAGCCAUCAUUUAAAGAAAGCGUAAUAGCUCACUGGUCGAGUCGGCCUGCGCGGAAGAUGUAACGGGGCUAAACCAUGCACCGAAGCUGCGGCAGCGACGCUUAUGCGUUGUUGGGUAGGGGAGCGUUCUGUAAGCCUGUGAAGGUGUGCUGUGAGGCAUGCUGGAGGUAUCAGAAGUGCGAAUGCUGACAUAAGUAACGAUAAAGCGGGUGAAAAGCCCGCUCGCCGGAAGACCAAGGGUUCCUGUCCAACGUUAAUCGGGGCAGGGUGAGUCGACCCCUAAGGCGAGGCCGAAAGGCGUAGUCGAUGGGAAACAGGUUAAUAUUCCUGUACUUGGUGUUACUGCGAAGGGGGGACGGAGAAGGCUAUGUUGGCCGGGCGACGGUUGUCCCGGUUUAAGCGUGUAGGCUGGUUUUCCAGGCAAAUCCGGAAAAUCAAGGCUGAGGCGUGAUGACGAGGCACUACGGUGCUGAAGUGACAAAUGCCCUGCUUCCAGGAAAAGCCUCUAAGCAUCAGGUAACAACAAAUCGUACCCCAAACCGACACAGGUGGUCAGGUAGAGAAUACCAAGGCGCUUGAGAGAACUCGGGUGAAGGAACUAGGCAAAAUGGUGCCGUAACUUCGGGAGAAGGCACGCUGAUAUGUAGGUGAAGCGACUUGCUCGUGGAGCUGAAAUCAGUCGAAGAUACCAGCUGGCUGCAACUGUUUAUUAAAAACACAGCACUGUGCAAACACGAAAGUGGACGUAUACGGUGUGACGCCUGCCCGGUGCCGGAAGGUUAAUUGAUGGGGUUAGCGGUAACGCGAAGCUCUUGAUCGAAGCCCCGGUAAACGGCGGCCGUAACUAUAACGGUCCUAAGGUAGCGAAAUUCCUUGUCGGGUAAGUUCCGACCUGCACGAAUGGCGUAAUGAUGGCCAGGCUGUCUCCACCCGAGACUCAGUGAAAUUGAACUCGCUGUGAAGAUGCAGUGUACCCGCGGCAAGACGGAAAGACCCCGUGAACCUUUACUAUAGCUUGACACUGAACAUUGAGCCUUGAUGUGUAGGAUAGGUGGGAGGCUUUGAAGUGUGGACGCCAGUCUGCAUGGAGCCGACCUUGAAAUACCACCCUUUAAUGUUUGAUGUUCUAACGUGGACCCGUGAUCCGGGUUGCGGACAGUGUCUGGUGGGUAGUUUGACUGGGGCGGUCUCCUCCUAAAGAGUAACGGAGGAGCACGAAGGUUGGCUAAUCCUGGUCGGACAUCAGGAGGUUAGUGCAAUGGCAUAAGCCAGCUUGACUGCGAGCGUGACGGCGCGAGCAGGUGCGAAAGCAGGUCAUAGUGAUCCGGUGGUUCUGAAUGGAAGGGCCAUCGCUCAACGGAUAAAAGGUACUCCGGGGAUAACAGGCUGAUACCGCCCAAGAGUUCAUAUCGACGGCGGUGUUUGGCACCUCGAUGUCGGCUCAUCACAUCCUGGGGCUGAAGUAGGUCCCAAGGGUAUGGCUGUUCGCCAUUUAAAGUGGUACGCGAGCUGGGUUUAGAACGUCGUGAGACAGUUCGGUCCCUAUCUGCCGUGGGCGCUGGAGAAUUGAGGGGGGCUGCUCCUAGUACGAGAGGACCGGAGUGGACGCAUCACUGGUGUUCGGGUUGUCAUGCCAAUGGCACUGCCCGGUAGCUAAAUGCGGAAGAGAUAAGUGCUGAAAGCAUCUAAGCACGAAACUUGCCCCGAGAUGAGUUCUCCCUGACCCUUUAAGGGUCCUGAAGGAACGUUGAAGACGACGACGUUGAUAGGCCGGGUGUGUAAGCGCAGCGAUGCGUUGAGCUAACCGGUACUAAUGAACCGUGAGGCUUAACCUU
rnacentral:rRNA from 1 species